AGUGAACGCUGGCGGUAGGCCUAACACAUGCAAGUCGAACGGGAGCACAGUAAGAGCUUGCUCUUACGGGUGGCGAGUGGCGGACGGGUGAGGCAUACAUCGGAAUCUACUUUUUCGGGGGGGAUAACGUAGGGAAACUUACGCUAAUACCGCAUACGACCUACGGGUGAAAGCAGGGGAUCUUCGGACCUUGCGCGAUUGAAUUAGCCGAUGUCGGAUUAGCUAGUUGGCGUGGUAAAGGCCCACCAAGGCGACGCUCCGUAGCUUGUCUGAGAGGAUGAUCAGGCCAACCGGAACUGAGACCCGGUCCAGAAUCCUACGGGAGGCAGCAGGUGGGAAUAUUGGACCAUGGGCGCAAGCCUGAUCCAGCCAUAGCGCGUGGGUGAAGAAGGGCUUCGGGUUGUAAAGCCCUUGUGUUGGGAAAGAAAAGCAGCAGGUUAAUACCCCGCUGUUCUGACGGUACCCAAAGAAUAAGCACCGGCUAACUUCGUG
rnacentral:rRNA from 1 species